rnacentral:tRNA from 1 species
UGCCCGAUCGUCUAAUGGCAGGACAGCAGAUUUUGGUUCUGUUUGUGGUGGUUCGAAUCCAUCUCGGGCAA